rnacentral:rRNA from 1 species
UACGUAGGGUGCAAGCGUUAAUCGGAAUUACUGGGCGUAAAGCGUGCGCAGGCGGUUAUGUAAGACAGGUGUGAAAUCCCAGGGCUUAACCUUGGAACUGCAUUUGUGACUGCAUAGCUAGAGUACGGUAGAGGGGGAUGGAAUUCCGCGUGUAGCAGUGAAAUGCGUAGAUAUACGGAGGAACACCGAUGGCGAAGGCAAUCCCCUGGACCUGUACUGACGCUCAUGCACGAAAGCGUGGGGAGCAAACAGG